rnacentral:misc_RNA from 1 species
UCUGUUGUAGGACCCAAUGUAAAACCUAUGGAUGAUAAAAGACAGAUAAUGGUGCCGGAACAGACCGAUAUCUCCUGCCUGACUGGGGUACCCGAGGAACACAUCAAGACGCGACGAGUCAAGAUCUAUGUGCCUGCUAAAAACGCGAUGCAGUCGGGAGUGUUCGGAACAAGGCGAUGGAAGAUUGAUUUUGAUACUCGAGAAAGAUGGGAAAAUCCUUUGAUGGGAUGGACCUCCAGCGCUGAUCCACUUUCAAAUAUGGCGGUUGAGUUCAAAUCCCCGGAAGAUGCCAUGGAAUUCUGCGAAAAGAAUGGCUGGGAGUAUUACUUGGAGGAGAAGAAAGAGCCCAAAUUUAAACCGAAAUCUUACGGUGCCAACUUUAGCUGGAACAAGAAAACUAGAGUGUCUACCAAGUAGUGUAACAGAGACUCAAAGUGUUUCCAUUUAUAUUAAACUGUAAAUAUUGGAUAUUAAAUUUUCAAAGAUACUUAC